UGGGGGAAUUUUGGACAAUGGGCGAAAGCCUGAUCCAGCAAUGCCGCGUGUGUGAAGAAGGCCUUCGGGUUGUAAAGCACUUUUGUCCGGAAAGAAAUCCUUGGCUCUAAUACAGUCGGGGGAUGACGGUACCGGAAGAAUAAGCACCGGCUAACUACGUGCUAGCAGCCGCGGUAAUACGUAGGGUGCAAGCGUUAAUCGGAAUUACUGGGCGUAAAGCGUGCGCAGGCGGUUUGCUAAGACCGAUGUGAAAUCCCCGGGCUCAACCUGGGAACUGCAUUGGUGACUGGCAGGCUAGAGUAUGGCAGAGGGGGGUAGAAUUCCACGUGUAGCAGUGAAAUGCGUAGAGAUGUGGAGGAAUACCGAUGGCGAAGGCAGCCCCCUGGGCCAAAUACUGACGCUCAUGCACGAAAGCGUGGGGAGCAAACAGGAUUAGAUACCCUGGUAGUCCAGCGCCCUAAACGAUGUCAACUAGUUGUUGGGGAUUCAUUUCCUUAGUAACGUAGCUAACGCGUGAAGUUGACCGCCUGGGGAGUACGGUCGCAAGAUUAAAACUUAAAGGAAUUGACGGGGUCAUA
rnacentral:rRNA from 1 species